rnacentral:tRNA from 6 species
GCCGGAGUGGCGGAAUGGCAGACGCACCUGACUCAAAAUCAGGCGGGUAACACCGUGUGGGUUCAAGUCCCACCCCCGGCACCA